AGUGAACGCUGGCGGCGUGCCUAAUACAUGCAAGUCGAACGAACGAAUAAGAGCUUGCUCUUAUAAGUUAGUGGCGCACGGGUGAGUAAUAUAUAGCUAAUCUGCCUCUUAGUAGAGGAUAACAGUCGGAAACGAUUGCUAAUACUCUAUACUUCUGCUUUACAUAAGUAAAGUAGAGAAAGUUUUUCGCUAAGAGAUGAGGCUAUACUGUAUCAGCUAGUUGGUAAGGUAACGGCUUACCAAGGCUAUGACGCAUAACUGGUCUGAGAGGAUGAUCAGUCACAUUGGAACUGAGACACGGUCCAAACUCCUACGGGAGACAGCAGUAGGGAAUAUUGCGCAAUGGGGGAAACCCUGACGCAGCAACGCCGCGUGGAGGAUGACACUUUUCGGAGCGUAAACUCCUUUUAUCGGGAAAGAAUAAUGACGGUACCCGAUGAAUAAGCACCGGCUAACUCCGUG
rnacentral:rRNA from 1 species